GGCGGGGUCGGCAGGCGGAGGAGCAGGGCCGCGGGCGGGCCGCAUCUACCGAGGAGGCAGGCGAACGCCAAGGCGAAGGCCGGUGUCCUCACGGUUGGGUCCCACCCACUGAGGCCGCCUUGCUGGCUCCUCUCCGAGUCCCGGGCCUGCGCCCUGCGUUCCGCACUGUCCGCCAACGGGCAGGCUGGGGCCGUGGGGGCGGAAGACCCCCGGAGGCAGAGGCCUGGCUCGGCCACCCUGGUUCGGGAGCCGGGAAGUAUAUUCCUAAACCGGAAACGCUCAGGCUGCCGAGGGCGGAAAACACCACUUUCCCUUUCCCUCGCCCUUCAUCCCAGUCUGUGCCUCAUCGGGAGGCCUGAGGGUUGAACUGCCUGCCCAUCCUCCAGCAACCAUUCAUCGGCCCUGAUUCACUGCAUCUGUCGGGAUGUCAAGGUGGCGUUCUCGGCCCCAUGCACCGCCAGGACUAAGGCCAAGCAGCUUCGUUCCUGGGCCCAGGUGGUCCUCCUGACGACGCGCUGGUCACACAGCCAGGGACCUUCCUCCACUACCCGGUUCCUGCAGCCGCCUGCGUGAUCACCAGGGAUCACCGCCUGACACCUGCAGCCCGCCAGGGAAGCCCUCAUCUCUAACUUUUGCACGUGUCAGUGUUGGAAACACACCCAUCACAGCUGGCUCCAAGCUACCACCAGUUUACCUGGUUCACAAAAAUGCCCAAAAACUUAACAAUCUGGUCAUGACAUGAGCUGCCCCAGCCCACUGCUGCCUGCAGGGAACCCUAACCAGCAGGGUUUGAUAUGAUAAACUCGCUCUGCGACUAGAGAUGUGGAGCAGGCAGGGACGGAUUCAGGUUUUGCAGGACCGGAAGCUCAUACAAUUUAAGGGGCUCACUUCAAGAAAAAUAAUGAAAAAUGACAACCAUGAAGUUGAGGCCUUGGAUGGGGCCCAUAUGAGUCAGAGGUCCUUAUGUAAGGAGUGCGUGCGGUAACGAGAGUGGGCUGUUACACUGAGCAGGGGGUGUGCAGGGGGCAGCAGGGGGCAGAGCCUGGCAGGGCCCCCACCAGUCUUGGGGGCUCACUGUGAGUGACUCUGGCCUUCCCAGGGCCCAAGCUGUAGCAGCUGUUGCACUUGACAAGGCUCACGCUGCCCUGACUGUUGAGGAUGGGCAGUAGGGUGGGGUGAGUGGCAGAGGGAGAUUAAGACAAGAGGUUACAACAGUGAUCCAGGGAAGAGCUGAUGGAGGCUCAGGGGAGGGUGUGGAGCGUGCAGCCCGACUAGCAGGGUGGGCAGGCCCUCUGGCCUGGAGGAGCAGCAGGGUGCGCUGAGGGAUAAGGGACACGUGGGAGACGGCAGCAGUGGCAGCAACUGUGAAAGGCUGGGAGCAGAUGAGCAAAGGGAGGGGCUGUCGGUGGCAAGAGCCAAGGCAGACCCCAAAGACGCGGCCUGGGUAAGGCCUGGCACUGCCUUGGGCCCUGUCUGUCCCUUCGUGUCCCCUUCUGUGAUGAAGAUUUGCUGCAGCAACACAUGUCAGCAAGUGUCCACGACUGCUGACUUAGCCAUGAUGACGGCAACGAUGGAUGGGGUCCAGUGGGAGGCCUGGCAGGUGUGCCUACCAGAAGCCACCAGAAGGAGAGUGGAGGGAGGCUCUGCUGGGAGGGUGCAGGGCAGGUCCAGGGCUGCUCAUCUUCAGCACUCAUGAAGCAGGGGGCCCAGCUCCCCUGCCAGGUGUGGAAAGUGAGAAGUCGAGUUUGGGAAGAUUGCUGGCAGGACGGGACAGCCAGCCUCCCCAGGAGCAGGCCUGGAGGCCCACGCUGCUCCUGCUCUAGGGGUAAGUGACACAGAGUCCUGAGGUCUCUGAGUGCGGGGCAGCGAUUCAAGGCCCUUGGUGGACUUAAUAGGGAGGGUGAUGAGCCAUUUCGAGGUUCGCUGGGAGAGGCCAGUGGGAGUAGAGGACAACCAGGGGCCUCUCCCCACACCCUACUGGCCUAUGAGCUGGGGCUAGUGGGUUGUGCCAAGGGGUCAGGUCAGCUAGGGGCUCUUGGCAGGUUCAUGAGCUGGGUGGGGCUGGAAGCUUCUGCAGGAGGAGCCUGCCAGCAGGAAGGGAAGCUUGCAGCAGGGGGUCCUCUUGCCCCAGAUCCACAUGCUCCACAAUAUCCCUUUUGUUUUCCUGUCCCAGGCCUUCUGCCUGCAGAGCGGGCUUAGGAGUCCUGGCUGAAGGUAGGGGCUGGGCCACUCAGGGCCCGAGAUGUGUAGGUUCUGGACAUGUCCUCUCAACACACACAUCGUGAUGGGGGGGACAGCAAAGAAUGAUGAUUUGGGGCCUGGAAGGUGUGGAGUGGGACUGGGGCACCCCCCCCCAUAUAGGCCCCAGGGUGGCCAUGGCAGGGCAGCAGUGGAGCUCAGUGGGCUGUCCACUGACAUCCCUGCUCAUGCUCUACUUUGAGGACAGCCAUGGCUGUGGCGAGCCGGAGACCUGGCGGGGGGAGCACACUCACUGUUCAGGAGCUUGCAGGUUGGGGGUGCUGCUGGAAGGGGCAGCCUGGGGGCCCUCUACUGGCUGCCACCCUGGCAACCCGCUCCACCCCUGCCUGCAGGUGCAGGGAAGGUCCUGGCAGGGGAGCACAUGCUCUGCGGUGCUGACAGAGCCUCAGGUCCGCCCUGCCAUGCACCCCUGCAUGCCUGCUGCCCAAGGACUGCCCCCUGACACCACACCCCAGCACCUAGAGCAGCACAUUCAGAGCCUGCUGCGUGCCACGGGGCACCCAGAGCAGCCAUGCUAUGCCCUGGACAGUCCCCAGCAGCCUGGGUCCUGCCCCACUGCCCCAGGCCCUGACGGAGGUGGUGGUGAGAGGCAGGAUUGGGGCAGACAUGCCCAUUAGGGGAGAUGCUCUGAGCCGACUUGUACCUUCCCUCACAGAAUUCGGAGUCCCACAGACCCAGGCCCUGGCCUGGAGGGGGCUGCAGUGUCCCAGGCCUGAGCCGUGCAUGUAGUAGGGCACCUGGCCCCCCAGGACCUGCCGCUGCUACAGGAGCUGUUCCUGGGGGAUGAGCCUUCGCAGGUCUCCUGGGCACCUGGGCACGGGCGCAUCCUUCCAGCGGCGGCAGGACGGCGGGACCACGGCGCAGCCCACACCACCCUGCUGGGCACCUGCCCCUUGUGACUUCAGGGCUUCAGGAGCAGCUGGGGGGGGGGGCCAGCUUCCUGACCCGCGGGGAGGAUGGGGACAGCAGGCCCCCUCGUGUGACUGCCGCAGCUCCAUGCCUGGACCACACGCCCACGGAGGCAUAAUGAUAACGAAAAGGUACUUGCCGCUGAACCAGAGAGGAAACAAGGAACUGAACAAGUCCUACCUGUCCAGACUGUGUUGCAGGAAAGACUAUGCUGGGGCUCAAAGACUAAUGGCUCCCUUUUUAAAAUUUUAUUUUUUUGAGUACGCUCCACACCCAACAUGGGGUUUGAGCCUUUAACUCAGACCCUGAGAUCGCUGACCAAGCCAGCCAGGUACCCCAGGACUAAUGGCUCUUAGGUUUUUGUUUUUAUUUCCCUCAUUUUUUCUCUCCGUACCUCCUUGUUCCCUUCUUGCAGAUUCUAUCUCUGCAUAGUAGAUGGAUCUCCCUGACUGAGUAAUAAAUACCUUGGACUUCUAGAU